UUUGGAUUCUGUGCCCAAAUCACUCCUGAGCAAAGUAAACGAAGCACUAUGGUGGGAACUCCCUAUUGGAUGGCACCUGAGGUGGUAACUCGAAAAGCUUAUGGCCCGAAAGUUGAUAUCUGGUCUCUGGGAAUCAUGGCCAUUGAAAUGGUGGAAGGUGAACCCCCUUACCUUAAUGAAAAUCCACUCAGGGUAAGUCAGGAAAAUUGAGGUACUUCCUAUCCCACCCCCCAAAAAUGGGGGCAAGAAAAAUACCAAUUUAUGAUUCCCCAAACUGAUAUAACUAAUACUUUUUUGGAACAAGUAACACAGAGACAAUGAGUUAUGAUGUAUAAAUUGCUCUGAGCAUGAAGUACCUUGCUCUUAGUCCCUGUCAAAACAAGAGCCUUUAAUAUUCUUUAGUAUACAACUUUCUACUA
rnacentral:lncRNA from 1 species